GAGUUUGAUCAUGGCUCAGAUUGAACGCUGGCGGCAUGCCUUACACAUGCAAGUCGAACGGCAGCACGGGAGCUUGCUCCUGGGUGGCGAGUGGCGAACGGGUGAGUAAUGCAUCGGAACGUAUCCUGGAGUGGGGGAUAACGUAGCGAAAGUUACGCUAAUACCGCAUAUUCUGUGAGCAGGAAAGCGGGGGACCUUCGGGCCUCGCGCUCUUGGAGCGGCCGAUGUCGGAUUAGCUAGUUGGUGAGGUAAAGGCGUCACCAAGGCGACGAUCCGUAGCAGGUCUGAGAGGAUGAUCUGCCACACUGGAACUGAGACACGGUCCAGACUCCUACGGGAGGCAGCAGUGGGAAUUUUGGACAAUGGGGGCAACCCGUGAUCCAGCCAUGCCGCGUGAGUGAAGAAGG
rnacentral:rRNA from 1 species